rnacentral:misc_RNA from 1 species
GAUGAAGAACGUAGCGAAAUGCGAUACUUGGUGUGAAUUGCAGAAUCCCGUGAACCAUCGAGUCUUUGAACGCAAGUUGCGCCCGAAGCCACUAGGCCGAGGGCACGCCUGCCUGGGCGUCACACGUCGUUGCCCCCCCAUCUACUCCUUCGGGAUUGCGGGGGGGCGGAUGAUGGCCUCCCGUGCGCCUAGCCGCGCGGUUGGCAUAAAUACCAAGUCCUCGGCGACGCACGCCACGACAAUCGGUGGUUGCGAAACCUCGGUUGCCCGUCGUGUGCGUUCGUCGCGCAUCGAGGGCUCGAAAAAAUGCUCGGCUUCGGCUCGGCUUUCAACGCGACCCCAGGUCAGGCGGGGUUAUCCGCUGAAUUUAAGCAUAUCAAUAAGCGGAGGA